UUGCUCACUUCAGCAGCACAUACACUAAGGUCGGACCAAUACAGAGAAGAUCAGCAGGGGCCCCGAACAAGGAUGACACACACAUCUGUGAAUUUGCAUCUGACCAA